ACUGAGAGUCCCGGGAGAAGACUCGGCGGUCGCCACCUCUUCUGUCCAGGCCUCGGCCUUCCUGAGCAUCUCUCCUUCCUCUCCCAGAUCGUCUUCUCCUUCAGUUUCAAAGCCAGUGGCGUCGCGGCCACCCUGCCGGGCUCUCUGUGAGGAUGGUGGGGGUGAAGCCCGUCGGGAGCGACCCGGAUUUCCAGCCAGAGCUGAGCGGCGCGGGCUCCAGACUCGCCGUGGUCAAGUUCACCAUGAGAGGGUGUGGGCCAUGUUUGAGGAUUGCCCCAGCAUUCAGUUCUAUGAGUAAUAAAUAUCCACAGGCUGUUUUCUUGGAAGUCGAUGUACAUCAGUGUCAGUACUUAUUCCUUUGAAGAUAGGAAGAUGUUAUGUUGAUGUCAUUAUUACAGAUGUCAUUAUGGCUGCAUUAGUUAAGAAGAGUAGCACAUUAUUAAUUGCUUCAGGGAACAGCUGCCACCAACAAUAUAUCAGCAACACCUACAUUUUUGUUUUUUCGAAACAAAGUGAGAAUUGAUCAAUAUCAAGGAGCAGAUGCUGUGGGAUUAGAAGAAAAAAUCAAGCAGCACUUAGAAAAUGACCCUGGAAGCAAUGAGGACACAGAUAUUCCAAAAGGCUAUAUGGAUUUAAUGCCUUUUAUUAACAAAGCUGGUUGUGAAUGUCUUAAUGAAAGUGAUGAGCAUGGAUUUGACAACUGUUUACGAAAAGACACAACCUUCUUGGAAUCUGACUGUGAUGAACAGCUGCUUAUUACUGUGGCAUUCAAUCAACCUGUUAAGCUUUAUUCCAUGAAAUUUCAAGGGCCAGAUAAUGGUCAGGGCCCUAAAUAUGUAAAAAUUUUUAUCAACCUACCCCGAUCUAUGGAUUUUGAAGAGGCAGAAAGAAGUGAACCAACUCAAGCUCUGGAACUGACAGAGGAUGAUAUUAAAGAAGAUGGCAUUGUUCCACUUCGUUAUGUUAAGUUUCAGAAUGUUAACAGUGUAACUAUAUUUGUUCAGUCGAAUCAAGGUGAAGAGGAAACAACAAGAAUUUCAUAUUUUACUUUUAUUGGUACUCCAGUCCAGGCAACAAAUAUGAAUGACUUCAAACGAGUAGUUGGCAAAAAAGGAGAAAGCCACUAAGGUACAAAAGACACUGGACAACCAUAUUGCAAUCAGAUCUACAGCUCCUGGAUAAUUGCUUGAUUCUCGCCAGAGACUGUCAAUGUUUCAUUCAUUGCCAUUACCAAUAAAUCAUUGCUUUUGUUCAGAUGGUAUCACUAGUGUUUCCAUUGUAAUCUUGACACAUGCAAUUGUAAAUAAAAGUCACCACUUUUGCCAAGCUUAAUUUUUGUCUUUCUAAAUCAGUAUUUUCUCUUUCCAUGUAUUUGAAAACUGGUUAACUUCUGAUUUUAGUAGAGACUUAAGUGUCUGGUAGUAUAUUGAUUGAAAGCCAGUUUCUUUAGAAAAGGAGAAACUGUUCUAGGGAAUUAAGAAGUACAUGUGUACACAUUCAUGGCAAGUUAUUUUGAUAAGUGAACCUGGAACAGCUAACCAUGUUAAAUUAUUACUGCAUUUUUAUUAAAGGACAUUUGUAUAUCUGAGCUAUGGAAAUUACUCAAAUUAUAAAUUAGAAGAAAUAAACAGGUUUAAUGAGAUUUAGCUACUCUUACCUAAAACUUAGCUAAUGGGUCCACAGAUUCUUUCUUGGUAUAUAUCAAGAUUUUAAUCUCUUCUGGUAAACUUUAAAAUUUGAGUCAGCCUUUUUUUUUUUUUUUUUUUUUUUAACUAAUAGAAGAAUGUGGAAAUCAGACAGUUGGGGAAAAAAUACAGCAUAGUGAAUUCAGAAAACAGGAAUUGGCCAGGUGUGGUGGCUAAUGUCUGUAAUCCCAGUACUUUGGGAGGCCAAGGCGGGCGAAUCACCAGAGGUCAGGAGUUCGAGUCCAGCUUGGCCAACAUGGUGAAACCUCGUCUCUACUAAAAAUACAAAAAUUAGCCAGGCAUGGUGGCGGGUGUCUGUAAUCCCAGCUACUUGGGAGGCUGAGACAGAAGAAUCGGCUGAACCCGGGAGGCAGAGGUUGCAGUGAGCUGAGAUUGCGCCAUUGCGCCCCAGCCUGAGCGACAAGAGCAAAACUCCGUCUCCAAAAAAAAAAGGGAAUUAUUACCCUUAAUCAAGUAUUUAUUACCUGAACUACCAAAACGUGCAGUGUAAAUAUACAGAGAACAUGAUUUAAGGUUGAAAAUGAGGUGCUCAAAUAGAAAUGUUUAAAAGGUCUUUCACAAAAGGCUGGUAAAAUACCUAUUCGUUACCUUUUUUAUCUUAAAAUUGUAAUCUAAAAAGUAUUGGUAGUUUUAAUUUUAAAAUUUCUGAGUAUUUUGAAAACUAUUUUUAAAGAGUACAUAAGACUGUAAAAUUGUGAUUCAGUUAAACAUUUGAGGGCAUUCUUGUCUAGGAAUAUGGUAGAGAUACCAUUUGCCUUUGUGAGAGCAGUGUGUUUAUACUUGUUUAUGAAAAAAUUCUACAGAAGUUUUAGUGUUGAAAGAGUCCCUUUCUGAAACCCAAGUGUCAUUAGAUAGUUUAGUUCAUUUGUAUAUGGGCACAUUAACUGGUCUGUGAUGAUCUUAACACUCCUUAAAUAGACCAUCUCAGAUUAAUCACAUCUGAAAUUAAGGAUAAGAUUAAUAUGCAGGGUUUUGGUUUACAGUUUUGUACACUUAACCUUUCUGAGUAAUUGUUAAAGUGCCUCAUCCUAAGUAUUGCUGACCUUUUCCUAUUUAUACUUGAUAGUUUGAAAACCCAGUGAAACAAAUUUCGUAUUUGUAAAGGAUUGGACAUCAGAUUUAUAUUGUCUAUGUGACUCUUCUAUAACAAUUAGUUGCAGUAUGCAAGUAUUACAUAAUUCAAAUUGUAAAUAGUGAAAAAUGAACGUUUAUAGGUAACUAUAACGUUUCACUUAAUGGGAAAUCUUACUAUUAUAAAUGUGCAUAAUUGGCAUUUAAAAUAUCAAACUGAAAUGCUGUUUUCUCCUAAAACAGUAUAUAUAUAUACACACAUAUGUAUAUGUAACAUUUAUAUAUAACACUGAAUUUUCCAGAUGAAUAAGAGCAUUUGAAAAAAUGUAACUCUAGUUAUUUUAACUGAAGUUAUUUAUUAGUGCAUCUAGAAAACUGGUAUUCAGUUUCUUGUUCAUUUUGUCGGACAUAGCAAAAAAGAAUUUCAUGAUCUCUGUAUUUUGAUACAUUGACAUCAGGUGCUUUUGAUGAGAAACAACAGUGAAAUAUCGUGUUCAUAAUAGAAACGAAAGUCAGGUAUUGCAGUAGGAAGUCUUUGUCAGCUUAAUGCUGAAGCCAAGAGUAGCACAAGGUACCACAUUCUUGUGCCCACGACAGGCUUUUAUAAUCCUUCUGAGUUCUCUUUGACAUCAAGCCCCACGUUGUUCCCCAGUCUCAAUAUUCUGUUGGAGGCAGCCACGUAACAAUUAGAGUUGAAACCUGCCCCACGUUGUUCCCCAGUCUCAAUAUACUGUUGGAGGCAGCCACGUAACAAUUAGAGUUGAAACCUGCCCCACGUUGUUCCCCAGUCUCAAUAUACUGUUGGAGGCAGCCACAUAACAAUUAGAGUUGAAACCUGCCCCACGUUGUUCCCCAGUCUCAAUAUUCUGUUGGAGGCAGCCACGUAACAAUUAGAGUUGAAACCUGCCCCACAUUGUUCCCCAGUCUCAAUAUUCUGUUGGAGGCAGCCACGUAACAAUUAGAGUUGAAACCUGCCCCACUUUGUUCCCCAGUCUCAAUAUUCUGUUGGAGGCAGCCACGUAACAAUUAGAGUUGAAACCUGCCCCACAUUGUUCCCCAGUCUCAAUAUUCUGUUGGAGGCAGCCACUUAACAAUUAGAGUUGAAACCUGUCUGCCAUCCUUUGUCUCAAUGUUUGAGGAUGUAUGCAGUGUUUUUGGCAGCGAUUAUAGGAAUGCAGUUGUUUAUUUGGCCUCAGCAGUUUAUUUAUGGCUGCAAUUAAUAUCCCUGAUCAUGGGCUUUUAAACCUAAAAUAGUUCAGAUCCUCCCUUGUUCCUCUUAAUGUCUAAAAGCUUUGAUUCUGUAAUAAGAAUAAAGUGUUGGAGUUGAAUAAAUUAGUUACACCCUUUGUAAGCUUUAAAAACAUGAAAUUUAAGGCUUACUCAUGUUGCUUGUAUUGAUACUCAUAUAGUUCAAUUUAGUAGGUUAAUUUUUGUGUUAGGUAUAUCUCUUCUGGAACUGAUAAUUUGUAAUCUUAGACUAUUUUUUUUUUAAGAUAAGUAACUUAGAGUAAGAAAUCCAGCUGGGAACAGUGGCUCAUGCCUGUAAUCCCAGCAUUUUGGGAGGCCGAGGCGGCUGGAUCACUUGAGGUCAGGAGUUUGAGACCAGCCUGGCUAACAUGGAGAAACCCUGUCUCUACUAAAAAUACAAAAAAUUAGCCAGGCAUGGUGGCAGGUGCCACACCCAGCUACUUGGGAGGCUGAGGCAGUAGAAUCGCUUGAACCCGGGAGGCGGAGGUUGCAGUGAGCCAAGAUCGCAUGACUGCACACUAGCCCGGGCAACAGAGUGAGACUGUCUCAAAAGAAAAAAAAAAAAAAUCCAUUCACAGAACUGCUAAAGAAAAACUAGAGGAAUAUUUUGCUCAUUUAGCUUUAAAACUCAUUAUUAGAGGUGUGUAUUUUACAGUUUUGUAAAUAUAGAUUAUGCUUUAUAAUACACAUAAAGCAAGUAUAUAUAACAUGCAUAUAGUAAAUAAAUUUUAAAAUAUUGACUAUUCCCCAGUUAAGCCUAUACUUCUUAAGGAAGACUACUGAUGUCAUUUUAAGCAUGUUUCAAAAUUCAAGUUUUAUUUUUGAUCAAUAAGGUUUUUUUUUUUUUUUAACAUGCUCAGCACUAUAGGAAUAAGAGGACAGUGGAGAUUUGUAGGCUAAUAAGAUCGCUUUUAAACUUUGUGGUCCAUGUAAAAUUAUUAGUUGGAGAAUGUGUAAUUAGAGAACUAUAAGAUAAAGAGAUAACCUUUAGAAUUUGAAUGUACUAAAAUUGUACACAGCUUGGAAUAUUAAAAUCUUAAGGAUAUGCAAUGUUAAAACUGCUAGAGUAUUUUUCCUUCGUGCUUGCUAUGCUUCUCUAUGGGAAGAGGAAUUUUAUUUUGGAAUUAUUUCUAAGUUGAACAGACCAGAAUUAAUUGUGAAAACAUGAUCUGUUGGUUUAUAAUUGGACACGCAUUUGGAGAUACUGGCUCAUCAUACUACCUAGGAGCAAAAUCUCUGAAGUUUGAAUCCCUGCUCUUCCACUUGUUAGCUGUGUCAUCUUGAGCAAGUAACAUCCUUCAGAGCUCAAAUUUCUUCUUGUGUAAAAAUAGGAACAUCUAUCUCUUAGACUUGUUCUGAAGAUGCGCCUUACUUUGUAUCUGGAACAAGGAUAAGUAUCUUCUGUAUCCUGCUCUCAGCUGUCACUGCUUUUUAGGCCAUCAUUACUUGCUUGGCAUACUGCAGUGCCUCCUAAUUGUCUCUUUGUUUCUGCUCUGGCCUCUCUCAUGUAUCCCCCACAUGGCCGCUGGUUCUCUUUUCUUUAUGGGGUCUUUGUAAUGUAAUCUCUCCUCCUCUAGCCUCCCCAUGCCCCUCAUUUCUCCAGUGUGCUGUGCUGUAUUACCAGGUAGCAGAACGUACCCUAAUAUCGCAUGCCUUCCUCUGACCUAACUUUUCCAUCUGACCAAUUCCUACUUAUCUACAAGGCUCAGUCCAAGGAAAACUGAUACCGGGAAUAAUCAUAACAAUUGUGCACGCCUCCUCAGCUGCUAUGACACCUUGCCAUUAUUUCAUCCGGAUACUUAUCAAGCUACUUGUAAUGAUCUGUAGUCUUAUUUGGACUACUAGAUUGUGAGCUGUAAUACAAGUAUUUUGUCUCUAGUAUUAAGCCAGUUUAUUUGGUUUCUAUCAUUAAAUACAAUGUUGAAAAAAUUCUCAGGGUCCAAGGGGAGAUGCUUGGGUUGAGUCAGAGAUAAAGUAGGAAUAUGCAGUUGAGGAAGGUAAGGAAGAUAAUUUAGCUGAAGUAAAGGAAAAGUGCAUAGUGUGUUCAUAGAGUGGGAGUUAAGUGUAAGAGACAUUCUAGGGAAGUGAAGGAGAAGCUGAAAGAGCAAGUAGAGACGGUAAGGUGAAGCUCCUCUUGCCAUGUGAAAGAGAUCAAACUUUCUCCUUAAUUUAUGGGAGGAGCGAGCAUAGAGAAGUCUGUGAUGUCUCACAAGGUUCUCACUUUUACAAUUGAAUAUAGAAGUAGCUCUUAGGAGAAGCAGAACGUUCAGAGGGGAAGAUGAAUAUGGUUUUGGGUACAUUGCCUUAAAUUGCAUUUUUGGUAUUUGGGUGGCGAUGUCUAGUAAGUAAAAAGCCAGGAAUGUGAUUUUAGAGCUUAGAGCUAGAAGCAAGGAACUAGGAGUUGUUUAGAUGAUGAAAACUGAAAUAUGUAUAUGAAUGGGAAUUUUUAGAAUAUAAAGGGAGAGAAUGAAACUAAGGAGCAAAUGUUAGGGAAUCCUAAGAAAUAUUAAAGAAUUGGGAAAAGAGGAACCUGGAAGGUAGAGUAGUAAACAGGAAAGGGAGGAAAAACAGGAGGUGGUAAUAAAGUAGUGUUAAUGAAUCCAAGAGGGAGCAGUCACCAUCUUCAAAUGUGAUAUUGAAAUUAGCUGGGAUGUCCAGUUGUUUAAUCCAUUAAAUUGUGGAAACAGUCUUUCUAGUGCUUAAUUAUAGGAAUCAUUGAUCAUAUUAAUAAACUUUCAGUUGAAGCAUCAGCAGAUAAUUAUUCCAAAACCCUCUGGCAAAGAAAUGUAGAUGCUUUUAUAGUCUACCAUUGAACACAGUUUUACAUGACACUUGGCAAAACUUGGAGAUGGAUGGCACUAUUUUGUAAGAGAAUAUGAAACACUGCUUUGAAGUUGUCAUUAAAGGAUCUUAUCAGGUG